rnacentral:rRNA from 1 species
UACGAACCGUGCGAACGUUGUUCGGAAUCACUGGGCUUAAAGGGCGCGUAGGCGGGUGGCCAAGUCAGAGGUGAAAUCCCACGGCUCAACCGUGGAAGUGCCCCUGAAACUGGUCAUCUCGAGGGAGGUAGGGGCGUGCGGAACUUCCGGUGGAGCGGUGAAAUGCGUAGAUAUCGGAAGGAACGCCGGUGGCGAAAGCGGGUCUCUGGGCCGAUACUGACGCUGAGGAGCGAAAGCGUGGGGAGCGAACAGG